AUGGAUGAACCUUGUAGGAUUCAGGCAUUUACAAAGUACCCACCCUGUGCCAAGCUGUAUGAAUACAGAAACAAAAGCAAAAUAGUACUGAUCUCAGGACCUGACAGUAUCCUAAAGAAAAAUGAUUUGGACAUAACUUUGGGCAGGAGUCUACUACAAACUCAAAUGGAAAGCAAAAGGAAAAGUCAAAGUAACACUCAUGCUGUGGGUGGUAAGUUCAAAAUUCCUUCUUUUACAAGAGCCUGGUGUUCUUGAGACCUGGCCCAGUUAUUGUUCUUUUGUUUUCCAGAGGGAGACUGUUAUAUGCAAUAGUGAAUAGUCUGAUAUAUCAGAGUCAAAACUUGAAGUUCUCUAAAAUUGUGUGCUUUUCACAGUAUAUUCAUAUGCAUUAUUCUCUUUCAUUCUCCCAACAGCCUUUGGAGAAAGGAAAGGCAUGUAUUAUCAUUACCACUUGACAUAUGAAGAAACUGAGGCACAGAACCAUUAAAGAUACUUAUAGAAUAACCCAGAGGAAGUUAGUGGCAUAGCCCUUUUCUCCUUGAACAGCUUAUGGGUCAGUUCCUCCAUUAAAAUGUAUCAGAAUGACCUAAGAAGCAAAAG
rnacentral:lncRNA from 1 species